GUUAAAAAUUGCUGUUAAUUUACGGCAAAAUUUUAACAGUAUAAUCCUGUUAUUGUCAAAAGCAGUAUGUUGCUGUUUUUUUACGGUUUUUGAAAUGACGUAGACGAAAUUUAACAUUAUUUUACUGUUUUUAUCACACCAAUGUAAAAAAACAGCAAUCAACAGUAUUUUUUGAACAGAAGACGUCAGCCAUUACAUGUGGAUUUUCAUGCUUCUUUUAACUUUGACUUACUCGGUGAGUGCACCUUUAUUUAGCUAAUUUUACACAAAAUACACAUUUGUGAUUGCACAUAGGCUAACUGGAUGCUGAUAUUGUAACUUUUUUACAUCUAUUUUAGUUCUAAAUCAGUGUCAAUGUGCAAACUGCAUCUGCAUUGAGUGGAACUGGAUUUCUGACACAGAUAUUUCCUGAUUACAUGUAUGUCCUUUUCAGCGCUGAACCUGUGAACAUGUGAACAUGCUAACUGCAUCAUAGAGUGGAGCUGGAUUUCUGAUACAGAUAUUGAUUUCUGAUUACAAGGCAUCUUCUACUGUACCUGAUGUAGAAAAGACCCUUGAACUACCUGCAAUUCCUUGACUGAUACUUUUUGAUGUUUUAGGAAAAAAAACAGGAAGCUACAUUCAUAAAUGGAUGAUCAGUUUUGAGGGGCAAAUAAUCUGAGAGAGCAUCCAGCCAAGUUUUCUGUCUGGUAUAGCUGCUGUGUUUUCAACUUACGACAUUUUCGAUGUGGAGAACCAAGCUGAGGCUGCAUGCACAUUGGAAUUAAUUCAGAGGAGCUUCAUUGGUAAACCCUAAGGCUCCAAGAGUGGACACAUCCUAUCGAAGGGAAUGGGGAAGGUCACCCACAAAAUGAAUUCAGUCAACACUAAGGUUGCCAGUUUACUUAAAGAAGCUAAUGGACUUUGAGUUGGAUGUCAUAUAAGUGUCCCCACACACACACACACACACCUUACACAUCCUCUUCACUAAUGGCACUCAUUUUAUUGUGUUAGUCGCGUAAUUUUUCAGGUGUAUGUUCUUGAAUACCUAAACUGUUCAUUGCAUUCUUUUUUAUUUCUUAAUGACUAAUUCUGUAAUUCACUCAGAAGUUUUCAGAGUAGUAAUUGUUGGAGUAAAUCUACUUGGUUUUCCAUAGCCACUAAUUUUGAAAUAUAAUAAGUGUAAUAAUAAUUUUGAAGUGUAAUAAGAUGUAAUAAAAGUUAAAGUUACACCGCAUUUUUUUAUGUUUCCAAUAAGGCUAUAUGUGUGCAUUGUAUUAAACUGUGUUAUUAUAACAAAUAAAAAAUGUAUAUAUACCCAUUUUCUUAGCAGUUCAUUUCUCAGGAUAACAUAUUUGUAGUUUACAGUUAAAAAUUCAAAUAAACAUUAAUUAACCGUUAAUUUUGACAUUAAAUUACUGUUAAUGUAGUAAAUAACAGCUUUAUGCUGUAUUUUCUAAAAACAGGAACAACCUGUAAAUUUCAACUACAGCUAGAUGCUGUUAAUUUAACAGUAACUUGCUGGCAACUGUGCUGCCAGUAACUUACUGUUUUUUAA